UACGGAGGGUGCGAGCGUUGUCCGGAAUCACUGGGCGUAAAGGGCGCGUAGGCGGCUGGGAAAGUCGGUGGUGAAAGCUCGCGGCUCAACUGCGAGUCGGCCAUCGAUACUUCUCGGCUCGAGUCGACUAGAGGCAGAUGGAAUUCCGGGUGUAGCGGUGGAAUGCGUAGAGAUCCGGAAGAACACCGGUGGCGAAGGCGGUCUGCUGGGGUCGAACUGACGCUGAGGCGCGACAGCGUGGGGAGCAAACAGG
rnacentral:rRNA from 1 species